UACGGAGGGUGCAAGCGUUAUCCGGAUUUACUGGGUUUAAAGGGUGCGUAGGUGGAUUGGUAAGUUAGUGGUGAAAUACUACAGCGCAACUGUGGAACUGCCAUUAAUACUAUCAAUCUUGAAUGCAGUGGAGGCGGGCGGAAUGUGUCAUGUAGCGGUGAAAUGCUUAGAUAUGACACAGAACACCAAUUGCGAAGGCAGCUUGCUAACACUGUGAUUGACACUGAGGCACGAAAGCGUGGGGAUCAAACAGG
rnacentral:rRNA from 1 species